UCGCAUGGACUUAUGAUGAAAGAUUCAUCAGUAUACGAUGGGANUGCGUUCCAUUAGACAGUUGGUGAGGUAACGGCUCACCAAAUCUACGAUGGAUAGGGGUUCUGAGAGGAAGGUCCCCCACAUUGGAACUGAGACACGGUCCAAACUCCUACGGGAGGCAGCAGUGAGGAAUAUUGGUCAAUGGGCGAGAGCCUGAACCAGCCAAGUAGCGUGCGGGACGAAGGCCCUAUGGGUUGUAAACCGCUUUUACGGGGGGAUAAAGUGAGUGACGUGUCAUUCAUUGCAGGUACCCCGCGAAUAAGGACCGGCUAAUUCCGUGCCAGCAGCCGCGGUAAUACGGAAGGUCCGGGCGUUAUCCGGAUUUAUUGGGUUUAAAGGGAGCACAGGCCGGCUGUCAAGCGUGUUGUGAAAUGUAGGCGCUCAACGCCUGACUUGCAGCGCGAACUGACGGUCUUGAGUGCGCGCAACGUUGGCGGAAUUUGUCGUGUAGCGGUGAAAUGCUUAGAUAUGACGAAGAACUCCGAUUGCGAAGGCAGCUGACGGGAGCGUUACUGACGCUUAAGCUCGAAAGCGCGGGUAUCGAACAGGAUUAGAUACCCUGGUAGUCCGCGCGGUAAACGAUGGAUGCCCGCUGUUUGCGUCUAACGUAAGCGGCCAAGGAAAA
rnacentral:rRNA from 1 species